GAAAUGUUUAGCCUGAAAAUAGUGUCUAAACAGUAUAUUUCUACAAAAUGAAUGCCACUUGGUUUAAUAUUUUAUGUAAUGCAGUGACAUUCAUACAUUUAAGCGUGGCCUAAAUGUGUCCAGAUAUCUGAGGGUCACCGUAAGUCAUGCAACAUGUGCAGUCAGUGAUAUACAUCCUCUGAUUGUUGUUGGUUUUUGCCGCUCUACAGGAUUGACCUCCCUCCAACUCACAAGCCUCCUCCUCCAUAUACAGAGAUACCUCCUGCCAUCCCAAUGGCCUCUCAGGCCCCUCAGGUGGCCUCAUUCUCUCAGGCUCGUCGGAUGGAGAGGCGCUACGAAUUGGCUGAACGGGCGCCAGGCAGGGUGGCUCGCAGAGACCUCCAGAGCCUCACUCACCAUUCACUGUCCUAUCAGGAGUGGAUAUGUCAUCAGAAUGGGGCGGACCAAGUUUACAUCAACCACAGAGAACACUACGUGUGAAAGCAUCCUCGUGUCAACCGCAGCGCACUGCCAGCCCCAAAGUGAAAACUGUUUACGAGAAUACUGGGAGCAAAACAAAAUCACCGCUAUACAGUAAUUAGGACUCUGAACUGUUACUUGUGUAUAUAAUUACUGGUCUAUAUAAUGCACAAUGAAAACCCUGGCAGCAUAUAUGUGUAAUUGUUCUGGCUUGUUUAACAUGUACAGUGUAGUCCGAUAUAAAAUAAAUGACCUAGGCUGCCUAUAUGAGUCUCUUUGUUCACUCAUAUUUCAAAUGUAGUGGUCAAACUGAGGGCGACUACAGCUGAAAUGUCCAAGACUGUACAAAAUGCUAUUUUUCUGUAGGGAUAAUUGCUCCUUGUUUUAAUCAUAUGUUGCAUUACACAAGGACUUUUUUCUCAAUAAUUUUAUUUAAUUUUUUUCAUUGUAGACCAGUUGUCAUUUGAUGUUUGACAAAUUUAGAUUUAAUUUGUUUGCUUAUGAAAGAGAGUGACUGCUAGAGGUCAUUUGCCAUAAGUUGUUUUGUUUACACUGUGAUGUACAUAACACUUAAAAAUAAAGGUUCUUAAUUGGCAUCUACGGUUCCAUGAAGAACCUUUAACAUCCAUGGAACCAUUCCACUGGGGGGAAAAAAGUUCUUUAUAUAGCGUGAAAAAUGUUCUUCGUUCGAAUUAAAAUUGUUAUUUUAUGAACUGUAUACUGAAAGGUUGUUUGGGGAACCCAAAAUGGCAUCACUGGGAAAACCCUCUUUUGGAACCUUUAUUUUUAUGGAUAUAGAUGUGAGUUUGAAUCAUAAGGCACAUGCUUAUGUACUUUGUCAUUGCCUACAGUAUGUGUGUAGAUACUGUAUUAUGUACAAUGUAAAUAUCUAAGCUCAUAAUCAGUGUACUUCACAAAAAACUGCGAAUAGAGGCUUUUUUGAAUGUUUAAGCUCAAUUUGAUCAUUUUUGUUCACUUUGUUCCGUUCAAUGUAGUGAAGCGUGAACUUUGAAUCUCAUAACCAAAGCAAUCUUUGCAUUAC
rnacentral:lncRNA from 1 species